GGGAUUGUAGUUAAUACAUAAUAUCUAAUUUGCAAUUAGAAGUUACCAAUUCAGGACUAUCUCA
rnacentral:tRNA from 1 species